rnacentral:rRNA from 1 species
GACGAACGCUGGCGGCGUGCUUAACACAUGCAAGUGGAGCGACGAACCGGGCUUCGGCCCGGGGCAGAGCCGCGAACGGGUGAGUAACACGUGGGUUGCCUGCCCCGAUGACUGGGACAACCCGGGGAAACCCGGGCUAAUACCGGAUGUGCCCUUCGGGGGAAAGGAAGCUUCGGCCUCCGCAUCGGGAUGGGCCCGCGGCCCAUUAGCUUGUUGGUGGGGUAAUGGCCCACCAAGGCUGCGAUGGGUAGCUGGUCUGAGAGGACGAUCAGCCACACUGGGACUGAGACACGGCCCAGACUCCUACGGGAGGCAGCAGUGGGGAAUCUUGCGCAAUGCGCGAAAGCGUGACGCAGCAACGCCGCGUGGGGGAAGACGGCCUUCGGGUUGUAAACCCCUUUCAGUUGGGACGAAGCUCCGCCGGUGAACAGCCGGCCGGAGUGACGGUACCUUCAGAAGAAGCCCCGGCUAACUACGUGCCAGCAGCCGCAGUAAGAC